rnacentral:lncRNA from 1 species
GUCUCCUUAGCCUUUUUUACAUUUUAACUGUGGUGCCAUUUUUCACUGAGAUGGCAAACAUAGUUCUACAUAUGCAUAAUGCAUUCUAUGUUAAUGUGUAUCGAUUAAAAUAUAGAUAGUGAUGUCACAAUGUUGGAAUUUUCUCCUCUGUGACCCUUCUCAAAGGCUUCCUCUUCCUGUUUCUCAUAGAUUUCAUUUUUCUUUUUAAAGGAACAAACAAUGCAUAUUUUAAUAAGUCUCCAUACUACAUGAACUCUAGUAUGCAUAGGUGAAAAAGACAUGAUUCGACAAAAGAAAAAACUAGAAAGCUGCUACAUCACAAACUGUGAAGUCUUUCAUUUCUGCACUGAAGACACUGCAGGAAAAUCAAUAACUUCCUUUGAGUCCACUCAUCUAGCUGCUUAUGAGAAAUUUACAUCUCCCUGACAGGCACUUUCUCCUCAGACCUGUGCAUACACCAGGAAGUGGAAGGAGUACGCACAGAGGCACAUCUGAGGUUUGUGAGGUGUCAUUCACCACAUGAAACUGAAAUGUUCCGUCAAGGUCAUUGGACAAAUAAGACCAUCAAAGGGUUAUAUGAGCUAUUUGCACACAAAUGAAAAGCAAGGUAUGGCCCUUGGAGUGCAAGUCCUUUGUAACCUUGCCCAAGCCCCAAACAUUUUGUACCCCAAUUUGAGAAGAAAAUUUAAAAAGGUGCCUAGAUGCUGAACUGACUUUGCUGUAUUGAAGCACACUGAGG